UUACGGCCACUUCAUGUUGAAAAACCAGUUCCCGUAUGAUCACCGAAGUUAAACAACAUCGAGUCUGGUCAGUACCAAGAUGGGUGACGGCUUGAGAAUAUCAGGUGCUGUAAG